UACAUGGGGUGCAAACGUUGCUCGGAAUUAUUGGGCGUAAAGCGCACGUAGGUGGUCUGUUAUGUCAGAUGUGAAAGCCCUCGGCUUAACUGAGGAAGUGCACCUGAAACUGGCAGGCUUGAGUACGAAAGAGGGUCGCGGAAUUCCCGGUGUAGAGGUGAAAUUCGUAGAUAUUGGGAAGAACACCGGUGGCGAAGGCGGCGACCUGGUCCUUGACUGACGCUGAGGCGCGAAAGCGUGGGGAGCAAACAGG
rnacentral:rRNA from 1 species